CCCCGAGCCAGCCCCGAGUCCCCGGGAGGCCAGCCCUGAGCGGCGCCGCACCUAGCCUCCUCCCAGCCCUGGGCAAACUUUUCGUAUCAGCCCCGCCUUCACUGGAGAUAAUGCACUUCCCAGGUGCUGGCUGCCUCCCCUCUGUUGAUCUGACAACACAGCCAUACAAGACUGCUGAGGCUAAAGGUUUUCCGUAGCCAGCCUGGGCACGUAACCCCUCCUUCUCCACGCCAAGGCCAAGGAGCCCAAUGUGCCGAGAGAGAGAAAAACCCCCCCAC